rnacentral:rRNA from 1 species
CCUACGGGGGGCUGCAGUGGGGAAUAUUGGACAAUGGGGGCAACCCUGAUCCAGCCAUGCCGCGUGUGUGAAGAAGGCCCUCGGGUUGUAAAGCACUUUCAGUGAGGAAGAACGCCUGGUGGUUAAUACCCAUCAGGAAAGACAUCACUCACAGAAGAAGCACCGGCUAACUCCGUGCCAGCAGCCGCGGUAAUACGGAGGGUGCGAGCGUUAAUCGGAAUUACUGGGCGUAAAGCGCGCGUAGGUGGCUUGAUAAGCCGGUUGUGAAAGCCCCGGGCUCAACCUGGGAACGGCAUCCGGAACUGUCAAGCUAGAGUGCAGGAGAGGAAGGUAGAAUUCCCGGUGUAGCGGUGAAAUGCGUAGAGAUCGGGAGGAAUACCAGUGGCGAAGGCGGCCUUCUGGACUGACACUGACACUGAGGUGCGAAAGCGUGGGUAGCAAACAGGAUUAGAUAUCCUAGUAGUC